rnacentral:misc_RNA from 1 species
AAAAGAAAAUAAGAAAAUAUGUUAUGCGGUAGGAAAAUCAAUUUGGCUACAAAUUAGCUGGGUUAAUAUUUUCAUUCUUUCCUAGGCAGCGUAUAUGCCUUAUUGAAUGACUUUGACAACACACGCAAUCGCAAAACUCAUCUGUGUGACCUCUGCGCCCGUUAAGUAGAACGCGUACCUGCAGAACCGUUCGCGAGUAACUUGACCCCCCACGUCUAUAAUAUUUUUCGUUCGGACGAACUACUUUUGUUGUAACCUUAAUCCAGACCUUCCUCGUGAAAGAAAAACUAAUAAAAUAAUUAUACAUAUUCGUAAUCACAUUGAAAUAUAUUCGAGCAUGGGCAAGUGUAUGUAUAGUAUACUGCAUUCCCCUGCAAUUAUACCCGCUUACAAUUAGAUCAAUUUUUAACUUAUACAGAUACCAUAUACAAUAUUACUCAUGUGUUUUUACUCACCCCACAUUCUUCAUUGCGAAUGUAUCGACGGAACUAUUCAUCAUAGUAUCUGAUUGUGAGCAGGAAAAGUUAAAAUACCUUUCACCGGGUAAGGUGAUGCACGCGACGCGUACAGGACUUACAAUAUCGCGAGCUGACAAUGGAAGGUACAGCAUUUCCUUGAAGACCGAUAUGUGUUAUGACACAAGGAUCUGCAUACAAAUAUCUGCACAUAGCUAUUGGAGUACCUGUUGUAUUUUCGUUAUAAUCUUAAACAUCUGUGAAGUAUAGAAAAUCAUAUAUUGUAUAUGGUAAGAAAAAAGGGAAAGAAAACUAAUGGUGGAAAAGAAAUAAUUGAGUGAAAGUAUAUUAGGCUCAUAUUAUGAUUACGACGAUUACAUCAAAUUGUAUCUGAUUAUUGUAUCUAUGAUAAUAUAGUCUCGUAAAUUAUAGGUUUCUCGGAAACUGGAAAGUAUGUGGUCGAUUUAUUUACAUUUUAACUUGUGAUACUGUGAUUUCAGAAACUCACAUUUUAUAUAUAAAAUAUAUGUACAUACAUAUGUAUUUCAGAUAUUUGAUCAUAGUUUUAUGCUUUUACCUCGUUUAUCGAUUGUUGAUGACUUCAAUUUCAUCGUUGAUGAUCCAUGAAGUGAUAUUAGUAAGAUUACAAUAAGCACGCAUCGUAACAUAUUUCAUCGAUUCGAUCAUUUUGUGAAAGAUAUUUAAGAGAUUAUAAAGUGCAGUUCACGUUAAAAUCAGGAGCCACUAUCCAUACUUUUUAAUAUGUUCAUACUUCGUGCAGACGUUUCGUUUAUAUUCUUUACCGAGGUAAUUGUCAGGUGGAAACGUAAAUUACGAGCACUUUUCGCAAGUCUUAUCAACCACCUUGUUGCACCGUAGGCAUACUCGAAAUUUGAAUACUGCAUUUACGUACGCGUUAAUGGGAUCGUGAUUGACAAAUUACUUUGCAUAGUUAUGCAGUGAAAUUGAACAGAAUAUAUUGACAACACCGAUCAAUUUUUCAUGGUCACCAAUAAAUUUCAGCACCCGUAUUCGUGGUCACCGCGAAGAAGUCCUCGAGGUGACUGACGUUGCCGCAUUGAAUCUUGUUAGAUUAGGGUCAGCUACCAGAUGCCAGUCGCCACUUUGUCUAGUCCUGCAAAAUUUUCUUGUUAUAUGUGGGUAUGUAGAAUGACGAACGAAAGGCCAUCCGCGGCUGAGUCUGCGUGUAGUGUGCCGAUGGAACGAUACCUACAUGCACGUACAUUAUUCGAGAAGUUGAGGUAAUGC